rnacentral:rRNA from 1 species
AGCGAACGCUGGCGGCAGGCCUAACACAUGCAAGUCGAACGGAUCCUUCGGGAUUAGUGGCGGACGGGUGAGUAACACGCGGGAACGUGCCCUUUGGUUCGGAACAACUCAGGGAAACUUGAGCUAAUACCGGAUGUGCCCUUCGGGGGAAAGAUUUAUCGCCAUUGGAGCGGCCCGCGUCUGAUUAGCUAGUUGGUGAGGUAAAGGCUCACCAAGGCGACGAUCAGUAGCUGGUCUGAGAGGAUGAUCAGCCACAUUGGGACUGAAGACACGGCCCAAACUCCUACGGGAGGCAGCAGUGGGGAAUCUUGCGCAAUGGGCGAAAGCCUGACGCAGCCAUGCCGCGUGAAUGAUGAAGGUCUUAGGAUUGUAAAAUUCUUUCACCGGGGACGAUAAUGACGGUACCCGGAGAAGAAGCCCCGGCUAACUUCGUGCCAGCCGCCGCCGUAAGAC